UCCCUGGUGGCUUAGAUGGUAAAGAAUCUGUCUGCAAUACAGAAGACCUGGGUUCAAUUCCUGGGUCGGGAA
rfam:TPA: Bos taurus chromosome 11, whole genome shotgun sequence.